AAUUUUGGACAAUGGGGGAAACCCUGAUCCACCUAUCCCGCGCGUAUGAUGUAGGNCUNNGGGUUNUNAAGUACUUUUGGCAGNNNNNAAAAGCCAUCCCCUAAUACGGGAUGCUGCCGACGGUAUCUGCAGAACAAGCACCGGCUCACUACGUGCCAGCAGCCGCGGUAAUACGUAGGGUUCAAGCGUUAAUCGGAAUUACUGGGCGUAAAGCGUGUGUAGGCGGGUCGGAAAGAAAGAUGUGAAAUCCCAGGGCUCAACCUUGGAACUGCAUUUUUAACUGCCGGGCUAGAGUAUGUCAGAGGGGGGUAGAAUUCCACGUGUAGCAGUGAAAUGCGUAGAUAUGUGGAGGAAUACCGAUGGCGAAGGCAGCCCCCUGGGAUAAUACUGACGCUCAGACACGAAAGCGUGGGGAGCAAACAGG
rnacentral:rRNA from 1 species